rnacentral:rRNA from 1 species
GAUGAACGCUGGCGGCGUGCCUAAUACAUGCAAGUCGAGCGAACAGAUAAGGAGCUUGCUCCUUUGACGUUAGCGGCGGACGGGUGAGUAACACGUGGGUAACCUACCUAUAAGACUGGGAUAACUCCGGGAAACCGGGGCUGAUGCCGGAUAACAUUUAGAACCGCAUGGUUCUAAAGUGAAAGAUGGUUUUGCUAUCACUUAUAGAUGGACCCGCGCCGUAUUAGCUAGUUGGUAAGGUAACGGCUUACCAAGGCAACGAUACGUAGCCGACCUGAGAGGGUGAUCGGCCACACUGGAACUGAGACACGGUCCAGACUCCUACGGGAGGCAGCAGUAGGGAAUCUUCCGCAAUGGGCGAAAGCCUGACGGAGCAACGCCGCGUGAGUGAUGAAGGUCUUCGGAUCGUAAAACUCUGUUAUUAGGGAAGAACAAAUGUGUAAGUAACUGUGCACGUCUUGACGGUACCUAAUCAGAAAGCCACGGCUAACUACGUG